rnacentral:rRNA from 1 species
UGGUGGAGUGAUUUGUCUGCUUAAUUGCGAUAACGAACGAGACCUUAACCUGCUAAAUAGUUACGUGAACCUUUGCGUUCGUGGACAACUUCUUAGAGGGACUUUAGCGUGUUUUAACCAAAGGAAGUUUGAGGCAAUAACA